rnacentral:rRNA from 1 species
AUUGAACGCUGGCGGCAGGCCUAACACAUGCAAGUCGGGCGAGCGGCGGACGGGUGAGUAAUGUAUGGGGAUCUGCCUGAUGGAGGGGGCUAACUACUGGAAACGGUAGCUAAUACCGCAUACCAUCAGAUGAACCCAUAUGGGAUUAGCUUGUAGGUAAGGUAACGGCUGACCUAGGCGACGAUCCGUAACUGGGCUGAGAGGACGACGAGUAAAACUGGAACUAAGACAGGGUCCGAUCUCCUACGGAAGGCGGCAGUGGGGGAUAUUUGACAUUAGACAAAAGCCUGAUCGAGCCAUGCCGCGUAUAUGAAGAAGGCCUUCGGGUUGUAAAGUACUUUCAGUCGGAAGGCGUUACCGACAGAAGAAGCACCGGCUAACUCCGUGCCAGCAGCCGCGGUAAUUC